rnacentral:lncRNA from 12 species
AUGGCAGGCUUCCCGGAGGAAGCAGUAUUGACGCUAACCUGGGAAGGACUCCAGGCUUACCAGAAGAUCCAAGCAGGGAGGCGUGAGCGAGGCAGGAGAAAUGACUGUGCCCAUGCCCCAGGGGGAGGGAGGCCCCGGAGGGAUGGAAGCCCCGGGGUCAAUGCCCCAGAGGGAUGGAGGCCCAGAGGGAGGGAGAUCCUGGAGGGAGGGAGGCCCCAGGGUCAAUGUCCCAGAGGGAGGAGGCCCCAGGGGGAGGGAGGCUCCAGAGAUACAGAGGCCCUGGGGCCAAUGUCCCAGAGGGAGGGAAGCCCGGAGGAAGGGACACCCUCCCCACCAGCGCCCGCAUCCACACCCAGAGCCACCCGGGCUACGCAGCCUGGAGGGCCGGCAAGCGGGGCGCCUGGGCAGAGGGUCCCACUGUCUGCGGGCGCUGCCUCUGAGCCCUGGGGUCAUGGAUGGUGCCCGCGGUGUUGUCAACGUCAAGCGUCUGCUGAGCGUCUGCUGAGCGUAGACCCUCCCCGCCGGCAGGUGGCUGUUCCUGGAAGGCAGGGUCCCAGGGUCCUCCGGGUCCCCGGCUGGGUCCUGCCCUCAAGGCAGUGGCCUUCAGAGGUACACGUCCGUUGGCAGCCCCUCGCUGCGCCCCAGGGCUCUCGGCCUGCUCAUCUUCCCACGGAUGCUGCGUCCCGACCCCAAACGCAACGACGGCCACAACCAGACUGGGGACAGCUGUCCACAUGGCUGCCUCCCGGGCGCCCCGCCCAACCCCAUUCACCCGUGGCUUCCCUCUGCCUCCCGCCCAUCCCCCGGGUCCACCAGCAGGUCCUGGCCGCCCUCCCUCUAGGCGCCCCCCGGAUCCACCCCCUCCGGGCGCCUCCCCCAAGCUCCAGGCCGGGCUGCAGCACCCCGCCGGGGCCCGGGCUUCGGCCCUGCCCCGCCCCCUUUCCCCGCCUGCCAUCCCUCAGCAGGGAGCACGUCACCGUGACCUCAAGGCCUCGAGCCUGA